rfam:Gossypium hirsutum cultivar TM-1 chromosome 5, whole genome shotgun sequence
AAUUGUUCCAAAAGAAUUAAAAAUCCCGCCGUCAAAUCCCAGGGCUCAACCUUGGACAGGCGGUGGGAACUACCAAGCUAGAGUACGGUAGGGGUAGAGGGAAUUUCCAGUGGAACGGUGAAAUACGUAGAGAUCGAAAAAAACACCAACGGUGAAAGCACUCUGCUGGGCCAACACUGACACUGAGGUGCGAAAGCUAGGGGAGCGAAUGAGAUUAGAUACCCCAGUAGUCCUAGCCAUAAACGAUGGAUACUAGGUGUUGUGCAUAUCGACCCGUGCAGUGCUGUAGCUAAUACGUUAAGUAUCCG